rnacentral:misc_RNA from 1 species
GAAAUGCGAUAAGUAAUGUGAAUUGCAGAAUCCAGUGAAUCAUCGAAUCUUUGAACGCACCUUGCGCUCCUUGGUAUUCCUUGGAGCAUGCCUGUUUGAGUAUCAUGAAAUCUUCAAAGUAAAUCUUUUGUUAACUCAAUUGGUUUCUACUUUGGUAUUGGAGGUCUUUGCAGCUUCACACCUGCUCCUCUUUGUUCAUUAGCUGGAUCUCAGUGUUAUGCUUGGUUCCACUCGGCGUGAUAAGUUAUCUAUCGCUGAGGACACUGUAAAAGGUGGCCAAGGUAAAUGCAGAUGUACCGCUUCUAAUAGUCCAUUGACUUGGACAAUACUUUUAUGAUCUGAUCUCAAAUCAGGUAGGACUACCCGCUGAACUUAAGC